rnacentral:rRNA from 1 species
UACGUAGGGUGCAAGCGUUGUCCGGAAUUAUUGGGCGUAAAGAGCUCGUAGGCGGUUUGUCGCGUCUGCUGUGAAAACUCGGGGCUUAACCCCGGGCCUGCAGUGGGUACGGGCAGACUAGAGUGCGGUAGGGGAGACUGGAAUUCCUGGCGUAGCGGUGAAAUGCGCAGAUAUCAGGAGGAACACCAGCGGCGAAGGCGGCGCUCUGGGCCGGUACUGACGCUGAGGAGCGAAAGCGUGGGUAGCAAACAGG